CUCAGAGCCAGGGCUGGGGCAGUGAACACCGAACAAAUCCCUUUUGCCUUUGUAUUUCUGUUGCAGGAAGGUAAUUUUUUCUCAUGAGCUCUGUAGAAUGACUCAGAGCCACAUUUAGAAAGGAACAUCAAGGAACGUGUCACCCUGUGUAGCCCUUCAAGCAGAUGUGACGUGCCAGAGACAUCACCCAAGCAGGCUGCAAGGCACAGGCUAAGGAUGGAAAUCAAAAUCAUCUGGGGGAAAAAACAUCUAGAACUUUAUCCUGUACCUCUGUUUAGCCCACAAACCAACAGAAGCUGGUGAAAUAAUUGCUUUGGACAGAUAAUAAAACAUCCUCCAGCGAAACUAAGGCACUUACUGGACACGUGUUACACCGUGCAGCACUCAUGAGAUGAGCAAACAGAAGCACGAAGGCAUGCCCUGACUCAUGUCAAACCUUCGCAACAACGCAGUGGCAGAGGGAGGACCCCAGCAUCCCAGACCCCAGCUGAAUGU